AUUGAACGCUGGCGGCAUGCCUUACACAUGCAAGUCGAACGGCAGCACGGGAGCAAUCCUGGUGGCGAGUGGCGAACGGGUGAGUAAUAUAUCGGAACGUGCCCAGUCGUGGGGAUAACGUAGCGAAAGCUACGCUAAUACCGCAUACUAUCUAUGGAUGAAAGCGGGGGAUCGCAAGACCUCGCGCGAUUGGAGCGGCCGAUAUCAGAUUAGGUAGUUGGUGAGGUAAAGGCUCACCAAGCCGACGAUCUGUAGCUGGUCUGAGAGGACGACCAGCCACACUGGGACUGAGACACGGCCCAGACUCCUACGGGAGGCAGCAGUGGGGAAUUUUGGUCAAUGGACGCAAGUCUGACCAGCCAUGCCGCGUGCAGGAUGACGGUCCUAUGGAUUGUAAACUGCUUUUGUACGAGAAGAAACAACAUUACGUGUAAUGUCUUGACGGUAUCGUAAGAAUAAGGAUCGGCUAACUCCGU
rnacentral:rRNA from 1 species